rnacentral:rRNA from 1 species
AACGAACGCUGGCGGCAGGCUUAACACAUGCAAGUCGAGCGCCCCGCACGGGGAGCGGCAGACGGGUGAGUAACGCGUGGGAAUCUACCGAGACCUAAGGAAUAGCUACGGGAAACUGGCAUUAAUACCUUAUUCGCCCUACGGGAGAAAGAUUUAUCGGGGUUGGAUGAGCCCGCGUUGGAUUAGCUAGUUGGUGGGGUAAAGGCCUACCAAGGCGACGAUCCAUAGCUGGUCUGAGAGGAUGAUCAGCCACAUUGGGACUGAGACACGGCCCAAACUCCUACGGGAGGCAGCAGUGGGGAAUAUUGGACAAUGGGCGCAAGCCUGAUCCAGCCAUGCCGCGUGAGUGAUGAAGGCCCUAGGGUUGUAAAGCUCUUUCACCGGAGAAGAUAAUGACGGUAUCCGGAGAAGAAGCCCCGGCUAACUUCGUGACAGCCGCCGCUGUAAGAC